GACGAACGCUGGCGGCGUGCUUAACACAUGCAAGUCGAACGGAAAGGCCCUGCUUUUGUGGGGUGCUCGAGUGGCGAACGGGUGAGUAACACGUGAGUAACCUGCCCUUGACUUUGGGAUAACUUCAGGAAACUGGGGCUAAUACCGGAUAGGAGCUCCUGCUGCAUGGUGGGGGUUGGAAAGUUUCGGCGGUUGGGGAUGGACGCGCGGCUUAUCAGCUUGUUGGUGGGGGAGUGGCUUACCAAGGCUUUGACGGGUAGUCGGCCUGAGAGGGUGACCGGCCACAUUGGGACUGAGAUACGGCCCAGACGCCUACGGGAGGCAGCAGUGGGGAAUAUUGCACAAUGGGCGGAAGCCUGAUGCAGCAACGCCGCGUGCGGGAUGACGGCCUUCGGGUUGUAAACCGCUUUCGCCUGUGACGAAGCGUGAGUGACGGUAAUGGGUAAAGAAGCACCGGCUAACUACGUG
rnacentral:rRNA from 1 species